rnacentral:rRNA from 1 species
ACGGGAGGCAGCAGUGGGGAAUAUUGGACAAUGGGGGAAACCCUGAUCCAGCGACGCCGCGUGAGUGAAGAAGUAUUUCGGUAUGUAAAGCUCUAUCAGCAAGGAAGAAAAUGACGGUACUUGACUAAGAAGCCCCGGCUAACUACGUGCCAGCAGCCGCGGUAAUACGUAGGGGGCAAGCGUUAUCCGGAUUUACUGGGUGUAAAGGGAGCGUAGACGGCAUAGCAAGUCUGAAGUGAAAUGCAUGGGCUCAACCCAUGAACUGCUUUGGAAACUGUUAAGCUAGAGUGCAGGAGAGGUAAGUGGAAUUCCUAGUGUAGCGGUGAAAUGCGUAGGUAUUAGGAGGAACACCAGUGGCGAAGGCGGCUUACUGGACUGUAACUGACGUUGAGGCUCGAAAGCGUGGGGAGCAAACAGGAUUAGAUACCCUGGUA